rnacentral:pre_miRNA from 1 species
GCCCAGAAUCGGGGUUUUGAGGGCGAGAUGUGUUUAUGUUUUAUCCAACUGGCCCACAAAGUCCCGCUUUUGGGG